rnacentral:rRNA from 1 species
AACCCGACUCCAUGAAGCUGGAUUCGCUAGUAAUCGCGCAUCAGCCACGGCGCGGUGAAUACGUUCCCGGGCCCUUGUACACACCGCCCGUCAAGCCAUGGAAGCCCGGGGGUGCCUGAAGUGCGCUGCCGCAAGGAGCGCCCUAGGGUAAAACCGGUGACUGGGGCUAAGUCGUAACAAGGUACC